CCCGAAGUGGGGAAUAACUGCCCGAUAAGGGUGGCUAAUACCGCAUGUGAUCGUUCAUUCGGUUGAUCUGAUCAAAGCAGCAAUGCGCUUUGGGAGGGGCCUGCGUCCGAUUAGCUCGUUGGUGGGGUAAUGGCUCACCAAGGCGACGAUCGGUAGGUGGUCUGAGAGGACGAUCACCCAGACUGGGCACUGAGCCAGGGUCAAGAUCUAAUACGGGAGGCAGCAGCGGGAAUUGCUCAAUGGGCGCAAGCCUGAAGCAGCAACGCCGCGUGAGGGAUGAAGGCCUUCGGGUUGUAAACCUCUUUUAUCAGGGACGAUUAUGACGGUACCUGAUGAAUAAGCCACGGCUAACUACGUGCCAGCCGCCGCGG
rnacentral:rRNA from 1 species